rnacentral:sRNA from 1 species
UUAAUGACGGUGAUGGGGAGCAGUAAGCAGCUUGCGGUGUCCACAGAGAGCCGCCGGUGGGUGCGAGGCGGUGAACCGGGUUGCUGAACUCGCCCCGGAGUUGCCCGGGGGAAAGUAAAAGUACUUCGGGCCGGUGUGUGACCGUUAGAGCACAUGAAGAGGGUAAAUAUGGGGCUGUGGCGCAGAGGGAGCGCGCUUCCUUGGCAUGGAAGAGGCCGCGGGUUCGAUUCCCGCCAGCUCCACCAUUUGCCAAGUAGGGUGGUACCGCGGGAAAACCUCCCGUCCCUAAG